AUUGAACGCUGGCGGAAUGCUUUACACAUGCAAGUCGAACGGCAGCAUAGGUGCUUGCACCUGAUGGCGAGUGGCGAACGGGUGAGUAAUACAUCGGAACGUGCCCAGUCGUGGGGGAUAACGUAGCGAAAGUUACGCUAAUACCGCAUACGAUCUAAGGAUGAAAGCGGGGGACCGUAAGGCCUCGCGCGAUGGGAGCGGCCGAUGUCAGAUUAGGUAGUUGGUGAGGUAAAGGCUCACCAAGCCGACGAUCUGUAGCUGGUCUGAGAGGACGACCAGCCACACUGGGACUGAGACACGGCCCAGACUCCUACGGGAGGCAGCAGUGGGGAAUUUUGGACAAUGGACGCAAGUCUGAUCCAGCCAUUCCGCGUGCAGGACGAAGGCCUUCGGGUUGUAAACUGCUUUUGUACGGAACGAAAAAGCUCUUACUAAUACUAGGAGUCCAUGACGGUACCGUAAGAAUAAGCACCGGCUAACUACGUGCCAGCAGCCGCAGUAAAAC
rnacentral:rRNA from 1 species